rnacentral:rRNA from 1 species
AGUGAACGCUGGCGGUAGGCCUAACACAUGUAAGUCGAACGGCAGCACAGUAAGAGCUUGCUCUUACGGGUGGCGAGUGGCGGACGGGUGAGGAAUACAUCGGAAUCUACUUUUUCGUGGGGGAUAACGUAGGGAAACUUACGCUAAUAUCGCAUACGACCUACGGGUGAAAGUAGGGGAUCUUCGGACCUUGCGCGAUUGAAUGAGCCGAUGUCGGAUUAGCUAGUUGGCGGGGUAAAGGCCCACCAAGGCGACGAUCCGUAGCUGGUCUGAGAGGAUGAUCAGCCACACUGGAACUGAGACACGGUCCAGACUCCUACGGGAGGCAGCAGUGGGGAAUAUUGGACAAUGGGCGCAAGCCUGAUCCAGCCAUACCGCGUGGGUGAAGAAGGCCUUCGGGUUGUAAAGCCCUUUUGUUGGGAAAGAAAAGCAGCAGGUUAAUACCCCGCUGUUCUGACGGUACCCAAAGAAUAAGCACCGGCUAACUUCGUG